UACAGAGGUCCCAAGCGUUGUUCGGAUUCAUUGGGCGUAAAGGGUGCGUAGGCGGCGCGGUAAGUCGGGUGUGAAAUCUCGGGGCUUAACUCCGAAACUGCAUUCGAUACUGCCGUGCUUGAGGACUGGAGAGGAGACUGGAAUUUACGGUGUAGCGGUGAAAUGCAUAGAUACAAUCAAGAACUCCGAUUGCGUAGGCAGCUAACUAGGCUGUAACUGACGCUGAGGCACGAAAAGCGUGGGGAGCGAACAGG
rnacentral:rRNA from 1 species